rnacentral:rRNA from 1 species
GACGAAGGGGGCUAGCGUUGUUCGGAAUUACUGGGCGUAAAGCGAGUGUAGGUGGUUGUCCAAGUUGGAUGUGAAAGCCUUGAGCUCAACUCAAGAAAUGCAUUCAGGACUGGGCGGCUAGAGGACCGGAGAGGAUAGUGGAAUUCCCAGUGUAGUGGUGAAAUACGUAGAGAUUGGGAAGAACACCAGUGGCGAAGGCGACUAUCUGGUCUGUAACUGACACUGAGGCGCGAAAGCGUGGGGAGCAAACAGG